rnacentral:rRNA from 1 species
CCUACGGGAGGCAGCAGUGGGGAAUAUUGGUCAAUGGACGAGAGUCUGAACCAGCCAAGUAGCGUGGAGGAUGACUGCCCUAUGGGUUGUAAACUUCUUUUAUAUGGGAAUAAAAUGUUCCACGUGUGGGAUUUUGUAUGUACCAUAUGAAUAAGGAUCGGCUAACUCCGUGCCAGCAGCCGCGGUAAUACGGAGGAUCCGGGCGUUAGCCGGAUUUAUUGGGUUUAAAGGGAGCGUAGGUGGAUUGUUAAGUCAGUUGUGAAAGUUUGCGGCUCAACCGUAAAAUUGCAGUUGAAACUGGCAGUCUUGAGUACAGUAGAGGUGGGCGGAAUUCGUGGUGUAGCGGUGAAAUGCUUAGAUAUCACGAAGAACUCCGAUUGCGAAGGCAGUUCACUGGACUGCAACUGACAUUGAGGCUCGAAAGUGUGGGUAUCAAACAGGAUUAGAUACCCCUGUAGUC